rnacentral:rRNA from 1 species
ACACGACUACAUUAGAUACCCCUGUAGUCCUAGCCGUAAACGAUACUCGCUAGGUGUCGGCCACGGUGCGACCGUUGUCGGUGCCGUAGGGAAGCCGUGAAGCGAGCCACCUGGGAAGUACGGCCGCAGGGCUGAAACUUAAAGGAAUUGGCGGGGGAGCACAACAACGGGUGGAGCUUGCGGUUUAAUUGGAUUCAACGCCGGAAAUCUUACCGGGACCGACAGCAACAUGAAGGCCAAGCUGAAGACUUUGCCGGAUUAGCUG